UGGAUCAAAAACCAUUUUCCUAUUGUGAUCAUCGUAGAGGCCUGGAUGGUGGACACUCCUAUAGUUGGGGUCCUGGGCGGCCGCUUCUCCCUACACUUGUAUAAACUACGGUAUUCACAGGGGGGAUACAUACUGGAAUGCCCUUCUAGAAAGCAACUUGGCAAGAUGUACCAGGAGCCUUCAAAGAAUUCACAACUUUUAAAGUAGUACUUUCAGAUGGAGGAAUCUAGUGAAGAUGUGAUUUUAAAAAACUGCAGAAGAAUCUCCAUCUAUAAAAAUCACAUAUGUGAAGGCAGCACCUGGCUAGCUCAGUUAA